CUUCCGGGGCCUGCCUGGGAACUUCCUAAGGCUCAUGGGAGGGACUGAUUGAGACUGCGCGUUCCCGGCUACCAGGUGGGAACAAUCACCCUGCCACCUCCCUGGAUGAUGUGAGAGCACUGGGAGGACCAGAGGCCGGCGAGGAUGCCUCAUCCCGCCUCACCUGUGCUUCCGGGAGAUGCCCUCUGCAUUGCCUGCCUCAGCCAGCAGCUGUUCCUCAUCUACCCCCAGUGCUGACAGCACCCUCGAGAAGUGCCGAUUUGCUGUGAGCCUGGCGUUGGUCUGAUGAGAGAAAAAGAAGGUUCCUGUUCUUCACCAACUCUGCUGGGGUCACCACAGGGCGCUGGUUAUUAAGGAAAGGGUCCCAGGCCAUCUUAAUAAGUGGACCCCAUUCCAACUUUGUUUCAUUGCAAGGCAGCUCCUGGGGGUGCUGUUUGCCUGCACACUGCACAGGUGUUACGUCUCACCUGCAUGGCCUGCUGGAACAGGAAGGGCCGGGCCUGCACCCUGUGUUGGAUGCCCUGCAGCUCUGACUGGUACUCAGCAAAACGCUGUCGCUCCUUUCGCCUGUAAGAAAGACAGGCCUCAGCCAGGCGGUGGUGGUGCACGCCUUUAAUCCCAGCACUCAGGAGGCAGAGGCAGGCGGAUCUCUGUGAGUUCGAGGCCGGGCUGGACCGAUAGCCUCCAAAACAAUACAGAGAAACCCUGUCUCGUAAAAACCAAAGAAAAAAAAAGAAAGAAAGACAGGCCUCUGGGCAGCUGAACAUGGACACUCCCAGGUUAGAGGCCACUGGUCCUCAGUGAAGCUUAUUAAUAUGUAGGUUUCCCCUGGGCGUUGGUGACACAUGCCUUUAAUCCCAGCACUCAGGAGGCAGAGGCAGGCAGAUCUCUGUGAGUUCGAGGCCAGCCUGGUCUACAGAGCAAGAUCCAGGACAGCCUCCAAAACAAUACAGAGAAACCCUGUCUCAAAACAACAACAACAAAAAAACACAUUUCAAUCCCAUUCUGGCCCUGUAUUUCUUGGGUGGGAUUAUUAGGGUGGCACUUACUUGUCCCAUUUUACUGAUGGCUCAGGGAGGUCACAGGGACUCAUACAAUAAAGUAGGAUUGAAUGCCUGUCCCAAGUUUAGGCUGUGAAUCCAGGACUUGCCCCAUGUUCUGGCCACCCCCAAAGGAAGGAUCAGUCCUGGCUUCUGAACUCCUGCUUGCACAGCCUCCCCCUUCCUAAAGCUCAUCCCUCCAUUUCCCCCCUCUUGCACCUUAAGAAACAACAUAUAAAAGGACAUCUCCCAAAAUUGGGCCUGGUGGCUAACAUUUGGGAAGCUGAAGCAGGAGAACUGCUUGAAUUCAAAGCCAAUCUGGGCUACAGAGUGAGUUCCAGGCUAGUCUGGAUUGCAGAGUGAGACUAUCAAAAACAAACGAACAAACAAAAAAAUCUGGACUGCACUGGAGAAAAAGCUAUUUACAAAAGCUUGAAGAUGUUUAAACAGCUCAGCAGGUCAAUGUGCUUGCCACACUUAAGGCUGCAGCUUCGGCUUAAGCUCCAGAGCUCCCAGAAUGGUCCUUUAACUGCUUUGAUGUGAGCUCCUUCUUCUUUGACAUGAUGCACAUGCCUGUGAUUUCAGCAUUCAUCAGGCACAAGUGUUAGGAUAAUCUUUUGUACACCAUGUGAAGAUGUGUCUCUGUCUUAUUACUUUACUGCCUGAGGCACCUUCUGAUUGGUUUAAUAAAGAACUGAAUGACCAGUAGCUAGGCAGGAGAGGAUAGGUGGAACUUCCAGGCAGAGAUAGGAACUCUGGGAAAUAAUCUGAGGUGGAAGAUUCACCAGCCAGACGCAGAAGAAGUUGGACGUAACAGUAUUCAGGAGAGGUAACAAGCCAUGUGGCGGAAUGUAGAUGAAUAUGAACGGGUCUUUAAGUUUUAGAGCUAGUUAGAAACAAGCCUAAGAUAAGGCCAAGCUUUUGUAAUUAAUAAUAAGAGUGUCUGUGUCAUUAUUCAGGAGCUGGCAGUCAAAAGAAAGACCUGUUAGAAGUAGGAAGAUCAGAAAUUAUCCUCUGCUACAUAGUUCUAGGCCAACUUGGGCUACUUGAGAUUAGCCCAGUGUUAACGCUACCUUCUGACCUCAUGAUCCUCACAGGACUAGGUAUCUGUCAGCUAAUGCACAGAAGAUGUGUCCAGCAUGGAGUGGCAGAAGGCACAGAUGAGGUGACAGGGAUGAGCAGACAAGGCCUGAAACUUGUGCUAGGUUCUCAGGCAUGUUGGACACACAUGGGAAGGCUUUCCAUGCUAGGCCAGGUGCCUGGGAAAACCAUACCAGGACCACAAGCUCCAUUAAGAAGAGCCUUCACCUGUAGUGAGAGAUCUACCCAGCCUCACCUGUAGCGCUGACCACGCCCAUUUGGGCAUGGUCACAGGUGCCUACAUGAGUAUGUGGGAUUAGGCCUGGGGUCCGGGACAGGCUCCCGCUCUCUUGGUUCCCAUCAGGUCACAAAGAGCAACCUGUGUGUGGAUCCUUGGAGCAGGAACUUGCGAGUCAUCGGUUUCUUAUGUAAGUGACUUCUCCCCGAAUAAAUUUAACCCAUACGUAA